GAGGUUUUCUUAGUUUAACUUCAGAUCAAACUAGGCCGUACGUUGCUCCUGGACUGAAAUUCAGUGUGUGUGUGUGUGUCCCCCCCAGGUGAAGCUGUGCUGGGACGAUCUGAUGGCUGCUCACUGCGUCCAAUCAGCAGCCACUCAAAGCGCCUCCAGUCCCAUCCAGCUGGAUUUCCCUCAGGCUCAGGGAGCUCAGAUGGAUGCGUGUUUUCCUCCAGGAAGCCUUCCUACACGUCCAGAAUCUGAUAGUCCUGAUCCACAGCUGGACCCACUGCUUGAACCACCGCUUGAACCAGAGCUAAGACCACAGCUGGAACAACAGCUUGAAACACAGCUGGGACCACAACUAGGACAACAGCUGGGUCCACAGCUGGAACAACAGCUGGGACCACAACGAGGACAACAGCUGGGACCACAACUAGGACAAGAGCUUGGACCACAGCUGGGCAUCGUUCUCUCCCAACAGGCCAAGAUGUUACUCCAGCAGAUGCAGACCUUUGGCGAUCUACUGAAGAGUAGAAAACUGAGUCUUGAAAAGCAAACAGAGGGUUUGUGUCACCUCAGUGAAACUUUGGACUCGUUGGUAAAAAGUUUCCUCCUGACGAAUAAGGAGCUACGCCGCCUGAAGAAGCAGCACAGAGCAGACCUGGGUUGUCUUGACCCCACACGGACGUUGAAGGCACAGAUCUACUACUCUGUGUAUCUCAUGAGGAAGCUGAAGAAGUAUCAGGAGCAGCUCUAUGAGACUCCGCCCCCCUCCUUCCCUGUUCAGCCCGUGUGCUCGUCCACUCCACGAACCCCCCCACAGGACGGGAUCAUCUCUCCAGAACUGGACACUGGCUUCAUUAGAUCAGAGAGCAGCCCCCUCCCCCCUUCUCCUGUCCACCAGAUGGCGACAGAGAGUGUCCGAUUGUUCCGCUGUGAUUCCAUUGAGUCCAUCUCUGCUGAGGAAAGCUCCAGGAAUCCUCCGUCUGUUUUUCACCCGCCCACAAACGCCAGCACGGCUCAGCAGGAGAAAAGUGGGAGGAGCCGCAGCCUCUACUGCUCGUCACCGCAGCGUGUCACAUGCAGCAGCAUCAGCAGCAGGAUGAGAUCCAAUGUUCAGCCUCCUGCUCUGAUGUCCAGAUCCACUCAGACCUCAGCAGCAGUGGAGAGGAGCAGCCGGACGCCACAGCACCACUGUUGCAGAGACUCCGCCCCUCAUCGGGUCAGACCAGUGAAGAGCCAACACAACCGUGCUCUUUUUCUACGCCAGUUUCUGCCAGGGUGUCCACCUCAAAAACUGUUCUACCCCUCCCCUCACAGCGGGUCACGGUUGGGGUUUUGAGGUCACACUGAGGCCACGCCCUCAUUGGACAGAGCCAUCAGAGCCGCUGAGAGCAUGAAGAGAUCGUCCAGUCGCAUGGUUGACUCUCUGUCUGCAGGCCUGCACCUCCGGCAGCACCUCGCUACCCCGCUCUGGACUCAAUCUUGAUGAUGUGAUCAUCCAACAGUUUAAGAGCUUUCUCAGUGUUGAGGAUAGAGAGAAGCGUUUGAUGUGUUCCUGCACUCAGCACUUCCUGUCCUAUGGAAAAACACUCAUUUAAAUAUGGCGUCUAUAGUAGUGGGCGUGCACUGUAACGUUUCUCACUCAACGUUCUUGAAGCCAAAAUACGACACUUAGGGGCGUUUCCAUCUUGCAGACUACUAGUGGCACAGUGUUAGUGAAUCUGGGUCAUCAAUGGUCCAACUUAUCAUCAAGUCCAACACCUGGUGCUGAUGGUGUGAAGAAAAGCUGAAAGAGCUGAUGGAGAAUCACACGCUCUCAGGAACAUGUCCUACCUUUGGAUCACGUUGGAAGAAGUUCUGGAUCUUGAAUAACUGUUGUUACUUGUUGUGUCAAUAAACCUGCCUUUAGUU
ensembl:lncRNA uncharacterized LOC114459787